rnacentral:misc_RNA from 1 species
UGUCUAUGUUGGAAUGCGGUAUUGGUACCCAUUCACUGAGGAGGCGAUUCAUCAGAUCAAGAGGGACAGGAUAACAAGGCUUGUUGUGCUGCCACUUUACCCACAAUUCUCCAUCUCCACAACUGGCUCAAGCCUCCGUGUUCUUCAGAAUAUAUUCAGUGAAGAUGCAUAUCUGUCAAGGUUGCCUGUUUCUAUUAUACAGUCCUGGUAUCAAAGAGAAGGUUAUAUUAAGGCAAUGGCCGACUUGAUCAGGAAAGAACUAGAGCAAUUUACUAAGCCUGAGGAGGUCAUGAUAUUCUUCAGUGCUCAUGGAGUGCCUGUGAGUUAUGUGGAGGACGCAGGAGAUCCAUACAAAGAUCAGAUGGAGGAGUGCAUUUACUUAAUCAUGCAAGAAUUAAAAGCUAGAGGAUUUGACAAUGAUCAUACUCUUGCCUAUCAGAGCCGAGUUGGGCCUGUUAAAUGGCUGAAGCCCUACACUGAUGAAGUUCUGGUUGAGCUUGGCCAGAAAGGUGUGAAAAGUCUCCUAGCUGUCCCUGUAAGCUUUGUGAGUGAGCACAUAGAGACCCUUGAAGAGAUUGACAUGGAAUACAAGCAUUUGGCUCUUGAAUCUGGCAUUGAAAAUUGGGGCCGCGUGCCUGCUCUAGGUUGCACCUCAACCUUCAUUACAGAUCUUGCAGAUGCAGUGAUAGAAGCCCUACCUUCAGCUAAAGCCAU